rnacentral:tRNA from 1 species
UAUAUUUUAGUGUAAGAUGCGCAAUAGUUUUUGAUACUAAAGGAUAUAGUUUAAUUCUAUAAAAUAUAA